UACAGAGGGUGCGAGCGUUGUCCGGAAUCACUGGGCGUAAAGGGCGCGCAGGCGGCAGACCAAGUCAGGCGUGAAAGCCCCGGGCUUAACCUGGGAGGUGCGUCUGGGACUGGUAUGCUAGAGUUCGGGAGAGGAGAGUGGAAUUCCCAGUGUAGAGGUGAAAUUCGUAGAUAUUGGGAAGAACACCGGUGGCGAAGGCGAGCUCUCGUGCCGAGACUGACGCUGAGGCGCGAAAGCGUGGGGAGCAAACAGG
rnacentral:rRNA from 1 species